rnacentral:snoRNA from 1 species
ACAUCAAGAUUUGGACAUUUCCUAAACACACUUUUGAACUUGUCCCAUGCUUCCGGAUAUGUCUCAUGAUCCUUCUAUCUGAAAAGAUAUACUUCGUUUCUGAUUU